AUGGCGAGGACAUGGGGUUUCCGAGGGUGUGGUGACCGGCUGAUUGUUAUUGGGUGUCCCAACAAUUCUACUGAUGAAAAGGUGGUUGAGCUUCAUUCAUGGACACCUGAUGGGCAGCCGCCUGUGUGGAAUUUGUUUGCCACACGGCCAAAAGGGGGCUACCGGAUUGUGUGCGCCGUGAUGGGGUGCUAA
rnacentral:rRNA from 1 species